UGCAGCAACGCCGCGUGAGGGACGACGGCCUUUCGGGUUGUAAACCUCUUUUAGUAGGGAAGAAGCGAAAGUGACGGUACCUGCAGAAAAAGCACCGGCUAACUACGUGCCAGCAGCCGCGGUAAUACGUAGGGUGCAAGCGUUGUCCGGAAUUAUUGGGCGUAAAGAGCUCGUAGGCGGUUUGUCGCGUCUGCUGUGAAAUCUGGGGGCUCAACCCCCAGCCUGCAGUGGGUACGGGCAGACUAGAGUGCGGUAGGGGAGAUUGGAAUUCCUGGUGUAGCGGUGGAAUGCGCAGAUAUCAGGAGGAACACCGAUGGCGAAGGCAGAUCUCUGGGCCGUAACUGACGCUGAGGAGCGAAAGCGUGGGGAGCGAACAGGAUUAGAUACCCUGGUAGUCCACGCCGUAAACGUUGGGAACUAGAUGUGGGGACCAUUCCACGGUCUCCGUGUCGCAGCUAACGCAUUAAGUUCCCCGCCUGGGGAGUACGGCCGCAAGGCUAAAACUCAAAGGAAUUGACGGGGGCCCGCACAAGCGGCGGAGCAUGCGGAUUAAUUCGAUGCAACGCGAAGAACCUUACCAAGGCUUGACAUAUACCGGAAACGGCCAGAGAUGGUCGCCCCGCAGGUC
rnacentral:rRNA from 1 species